GUGCUCACUUUGACAGCAUAUACACUAAAAUUGGAAUGAAACAGAGAUUAGCACAGCCCCUGCACAAGGAUGACACACAAAUUCGUGAAGUUCCAUAUUCUUUU
ensembl:snRNA U6 U6 spliceosomal RNA